rfam:Triticum aestivum genome assembly, contig: Triticum_aestivum_CS42_TGACv1_scaffold_129561_2BL
CAUGUACUCCUUCUGUUCUGAAUUACUUGUGGCAGGUAUGGAUGUAUCUAGAUGUAUUUUAGUUCUAGGUACAUCCAUUUCUGCGACGAGUAAUUUGGAACGAAGGGAGUAUGUA